GGUAAAAGCAUGUUCCUUCCAGGAUUGUCUGACACUUCUUCAACCAGAUGGUCAGAUGCGGUGUCUACCACGGGUUUGGCAGCGAUCUACCUGGGAACGAUUGCUUUGGAGCUGUUGGCCAUGGCAUCCAGGUUUGGAAAUUUCCACCACCUCAGCCCCUUUGGGGGAUCUACCCCACUGUAGCAGCUGCUGUGGCAUGGGGUAAAUCAUGGUCAGG